CCUUUAAAUGCGUAUCGUUUACUUGCGGAACAGCUUCGAAACAGGGAACCGAAACAAUGGGACUGACGCGUCACCUGGGCUACAGCCGGCUCAGUGUUGUGUGGUGCAGUGAGUACGUGUUGUCUCGGACAAGGUAUUUGUGAUCCAGGGGAAAGGACUUCCGAGGCCUGCCUCCAAGCCUCCAAGCUGCCCAUCAGAAAAGGUCGUGGUGGUCUGGUGUUUGUGGUCGUGCGUGGGGGCGACUUAGGGUCUCGUCUCACACCUAAGCCUGUCAUGGUGCAGGGAGAGGCAGAGUGACAGCCGGCCAUCUGGAAGUAAAGAAAAGAUCUGUGUCAGGGCAUGGCUGUGCAUAUUGACAGAGACGCUGGCCCGUGUUAUUAAACCAAUACAUCCCUCAAGAACUCUGUCGGCGAUCCUGUGUAAGGAGUUUCUUGACCCCGCCGGAAUGCUUACUUGAGAAGGCUCGUAUCAACUACAUGUUUAUAUAAGAGAGAACUUCAACCUGUACACCAGCACCGAGGACUGAACUGGUGAACUGGUCAGCCAAACAUUUCAGCGCUGAUACUUGUAGAAUAG